rnacentral:rRNA from 1 species
AUUGAACGCUGGCGGAAUGCUUUACACAUGCAAGUCGAACGGCAGCACGGGGGCAACCCUGGUGGCGAGUGGCGAACGGGUGAGUAAUACAUCGGAACGUGCCCAGUCGUGGGGGAUAACGUAGCGAAAGUUACGCUAAUACCGCAUACGAUCUACGGAUGAAAGCGGGGGACCGUAAGGCCUCGCGCGAUUGGAGCGGCCGAUGUCAGAUUAGGUAGUUGGUGAGGUAAAGGCUCACCAAGCCGACGAUCUGUAGCUGGUCUGGGAGGACGACCAGCCACACUGGGACUGAGACACGGCCCAGACUCCUACGGGAGGCAGCAGUGGGGAAUUUUGGACAAUGGGCGCAAGCCCGAUCCAGCCAUUCCGCGUGCAGGACGAAGGCCUUCGGGUUGUAAACUGCUUUUGUACGGAACGAAAAGGCUCUGGUUAAUACCUGGGGCUCAUGACGGUACCGUAAGAAUAAGCACCGGCUAACUACGUGCCAGCCGCCGCGGUAA